GUAGGCCACAUCCUACUUUACAUACUUUCCCACCUCACCUGGUGCUGCGGUACAUCGAUUGGUUCCAAUCAGUGGAAAGGCAUCAUUGUUAGGAAAUGUGUUGAUCGAUUUAGUCUCAGAAUAUCAUGGGGACGGGUCAGGUUAAAAUAAAGCUAUCCAACGUUACCGAGGUGAAAGUAAAGGUACAAAUGAGGUUGUAGGUACCGCAUAGCAAAUGAAUAAUCGAUGGGUUCAAUUCUGUUUGCGUCACUGGUUUGCAUUAAUAAUACAAGUGUUUAAAAGUUUAAAGCGCUAUCCUUUGCGUUGUACGUUGUGGCUGCCUCCUGUAUCUAGGUAGUUCAGAGAAUCAAGACCAUGAUGCUCUCUCAAUUGCAGACUGAAUUGGGGAAUGUGAUAACUGUAUGUUUGUUGUAUUCAAGGAUCAUCAAACGGUUGCAGAGUGGUGGCCGCAGCCUUCAACCCGAAAUCACG